rnacentral:SRP_RNA from 1 species
GCCAGGCAUGGUGGCGCGUGCCUGUAGUCCCGGCUACUCGGGAGGCUGAGGCUGGAGGAUUUCUCGAGUCCAGGAGUUCUGGGCUGUAGUGCGCUAUGCCAGUCAGUGUCCGCACUAAGUUCAGCAUCAAUAUGGUGACCUCCUGGGAUCGGGGGACCACCAGGUUGCCUAAGGAGGGGUGAACCAGCCCAAGUCAGAAACAGAGCAGGUCAUAACUCCCGUGCUGAUCAGUAGUGGGAUUUGCGCCUGUGAAUAGCCACUGCACUCCAGCCUAUGCAACAUAGCGAGACCCCAUCUCUA